rnacentral:rRNA from 1 species
AUUGAACGCUGGCGGCAUGCCUUACACAUGCAAGUCGAACGGUAACGGGCCUUCGGGUGCCGACGAGUGGCGAACGGGUGAAUAAUACAUCGGAACGUGCCCGAUCGUGGGGGAUAACGAGGCGAAAGCUUUGCUAAUACCGCAUACGAUCUACGGAUGAAAGCAGGGGACCGCAAGGCCUUGCGCGGACGGAGCGGCCGAUGGCAGAUUAGGUAGUUGGUGGGAUAAAAGCUUACCAAGCCGACGAUCUGUAGCUGGUCUGAGAGGAUGAUCAGCCACACUGGGACUGAGACACGGCCCAGACUCCUACGGGAGGCAGCAGUGGGGAAUUUUGGACAAUGGGCGCAAGCCUGAUCCAGCCAUGCCGCGUGCAGGAUGAAGGCCUUCGGGUUGUAAACUGCUUUUGUACGGAACGAAAAGCCUUCUUUUAAUACAGGAGGGUCAUGACGGUACCGUAAGAAUAAGCACCGGCUAACUACGUG